rnacentral:tRNA from 1 species
GCUCUUGUGGCCCAAUGGUAGGGCGUCGGUCUCCUAAACCGAAGAUUCGGGGUUCGAGUCCCCGCAAGGGUG